rfam:Citrus clementina cultivar Clemenules unplaced genomic scaffold scaffold_7, whole genome shotgun sequence.
AAAACGGUUUCACUAGAAACCAAAAAAUAUUUUAUAAUAAGACAAA